CGUAGGGUGCGAGCGUUAAUCGGAAUUACUGGGCGUAAAGCGUGCGCAGGCGGUUUUGUAAGACAGAUGUGAAAUCCCCGGGCUCAACCUGGGACCUGCAUUUGUGACUGCAAGGCUAGAGUACGGUAGAGGGGGAUGGAAUUCCGCGUGUAGCAGUGAAAUGCGUAGAUAUGCGGAGGAACACCGAUGGCGAAGGCAAUCCCCUGGACCUGUACUGACGCUCAUGCACGAAAGCGUGGGGAGCAAGCAGGAUUAGAUACCCUGGUAGUCCACGCCUUAAACGAUGUCAACUGGUUGUUGGGUCUUUACUGACUCAGUAACGAAGCUAACGCGUGAAGUUGACCGCCUGGGGAGUACGGCCGCAAGGUUG
rnacentral:rRNA from 1 species